GACAGAGGUGCCAAGCGUUAGGCGGAAUCACUGGGCUUAAAGCGUGUGUAGGCGGACUUGUAAGUACCUUGUGAAAUCCCACGGCUCAACCGUGGAACUGCUCGGUAUACUGCUUGUCUUGAGCCACUUAGGGGCUACCGGAACAAAUGGUGGAGCGGUGAAAUGCGUAGAUAUCAUUUGGAACGCCAAUGGUGAAAACAGGUAGCUGGGAGUGUGCUGACGCUGAGACACGAAAGCCAGGGGAGCGAACGGG
rnacentral:rRNA from 1 species